CGGACACAUCACGUUCAAACACCAGAUUCCGUAUAAUCACCAAAGUUAAGCAACGUCGAGCCUGGUGAGUACUUAGAUGGGUGACCGUUUGGGAAUAACAGGUGUUGUAAG